rnacentral:rRNA from 1 species
AUUGAACGCUGGCGGCAGGCCUAACACAUGCAAGUCGAGCGAGCGGCGGACGGGUGAGUAAUGUAUGGGGACUGCCCGAUAGAGGGGGAUAACUACUGGAAACGGUAGCUAAUACCGCAUACUAUCGGAUAACCUAUAUGGGAUUAGCUCGUAGGUGAGGUAAUGGCUCACCUAGGCGACGAUCCCUAGCUGGUCUGAGAGGAUGAUCAGCCACACUGGGGCUGAGACACUGCCCAGACUCCUACGGAGGCAGCAGUGAGGAAUAUUGCGCAGUGGGCAGAAGCCUGGUGCAGCCAUGCCGCGUGUAUGAAGAGGACCCUAGGGUUGUAGAGGACGUUCAGUCGGGGGGCGUUACCUACAGAAGAAGCACCGGCUAACUCCGUGCCAGCAGCCGCGGUAAUUC